AACGAACGCUGGCGGCAUGCCUAACACAUGCAAGUCGAACGAAGCCUUCGGGCUUAGCGGCGCACGGGUGCGUAACGCGUGGGAAUCUGCCCUUUGGUUCGGAAUAACAGUUGGAAACGACUGCUAAUACCGGAUGAUGACGAAAGUCCAAAGAUUUAUCGCCAGAGGAUGAGCCCGCGUAGGAUUAGCUAGUUGGUGUGGUAAAGGCGCACCAAGGCGACGAUCCUUAGCUGAUCUGAGAGGAUGAUCAGCCACACUGGGACUGAGACACGGCCCAGACUCCUACGGGAGGCAGCAGUGGGGAAUAUUGGACAAUGGGCGAAAGCCUGAUCCAGCAAUGCCGCGUGAGUGAUGAAGGCCCUAGGGUUGUAAAGCUCUUUUACCCGGGAUGAUAAUGACAGUACCGGGAGAAUAAGCCCCGGCUAACUCCGUGCCAGCAGCCGCCGUAA
rnacentral:rRNA from 1 species